rnacentral:misc_RNA from 1 species
UCGAGUUCUAAACUCCCAAACCAUUGUGAACAUACCUAUGUUGCCUCGGCGGGUUCACGCCCGCCGGCGGCCAACCAAACUCUGUUUUCUAGAGAAUCUUCUGAGUUAUCUUAUAAAUAAGAAUUA